rnacentral:rRNA from 1 species
UACAGAGGUCUCAAGCGUUGUUCGGAUUCAUUGGGCGUAAAGGGUGCGUAGGUGGCGGGGUAAGUCUGGUGUGAAAUCUCGGGGCUCAACCCCGAAACUGCACUGGAUACUGCCUUGCUUGAGUACUGGAGAGGAGAUUGGAAUUUACGGUGUAGCAGUGAAAUGCGUAGAUAUCGUAAGAAAGACCAGUGGCGAAGGCGAAUCUCUGGACAGUUACUGACACUGAGGCACGAAGGCCAGGGGAGCAAACGGG